rnacentral:lncRNA from 1 species
UUGUCUUUGAGAGUUUCAACGAUCCAUGUAUUUGGUUACUUAGGUUAGUGAGCUCCAUCGGGGUUUUACAUUCUCCCUUUGGGGGCUUGUAUUCCUGUGUGUGGCUAAUACUAUGUUCUUGGGAGAGUUGUUAGAGCUUAAGUGUGCUUUGAAUAGGUGGUUUGCGCUUCUUAGAUCCCCCCUCAUGUUUUUUCCACCUCUUUUUCCUUUGGUCCAUCUUCUCUUCACUUCAGCCUUUUCACUUGAUGAUCUUUUCUCUAUUCCUCUUUUCUGUCCCGAUUCUCCUUUGAUCUGACUUUUAGAUCUUAUUUUUUGGUUACUAGUUGCUUCUUGCUAUAUUCCUAUAGGUGGUCAUGCUAUUCUUGUUUUUCUUUUGUGCGCCGCCCUAAGCUUGGCCUGCGCAGAAGGGAAUGUGUUUUAUAGGGGUCUUUGUGAGAAGCUUGGGUUGCACAGGUACAGGUACACGUUAUUGUGAGGGAUGCCUUUAGAAGUUGCUUUAUUUGGUUCAGCAGGGGUCUUUUGGCAUUUGGUGGUGUAGGAUCUUUGAGGUUAUGUUUUUUUUUGUGUUUG